CGGGGUGUAGUUUAACUGCGCAAAAUACUUUGCCCACCGGCGAGGAGAUUGUGGGUUCAAAUCCCGCCACCCCGA
rnacentral:tRNA from 1 species